UUUCCCAAUAUGCCCCGGCGGUGGCAGUGUGAGCGCGUGGCCAGGAGGUUCCGGCUCCUCCGUCUAGAUCUGGAAAGAUUGUGCUUGUGGCUUUAGUUUCUGUGUGGUUGGGCCAGUGCUGGGUUGGUUCUCAUUUUUCUCAGUGUCGGGUAAGCGAUGCUCUCUAGCUCGGGUCAAGGUCCGACAUUGGAGGCUGUCUCUGGAGGCGCGAGUGUGGCGGUGCUGGUGGUUGUGUGGCCUCUGGUACUUUGGCAUUCUUUGUGCGUGUACUGCAGGUUCAAAAUUCAUGCGGGCAGUCUGGGACAUGUCCUACGUCCCGCCUGUGGUCAUUUUGUCCUUUGCAAUCCCGGACUUCGCCGCUUUUGGUGUGGUUUUUGUGUCGUCCGGUAUAGGUGAGGUUGCUUCCUUUCUGUCUCUUCGUUUUGCUUUGUGGUUUUUCCUCCGUAGAUGUCUCACCGAGGAGGCAAAAUGAAGCUUGCACCGGUUCUUGUUGUUAGCGCGAGGCAGAGCUCUCAGUUCUCUGGCUGGUCUGUGGUACUCCUUGUCUUCACGUUUGGAGGUUCUCAUCAAGACGUGGUUCACUCUGCUUUUUGUCUUUCUUCUUUACUCACACUUAUUUCCGAAGACGAGCCCAAUAAGUGCAGUAUCGGAGUUCUAAUUGUUCUUAGCCAGAGGGCACUCCUUUGAGCUCUCUGAUGAUUGGGUGGUUUGAGCUUUUGAGUGCCUGUCACAUGCUGCUGGUGGCAGUUCGGUUUUUCUGUUGGUCUGGUCUCGGUAAAGCUGCACGGGUGGGAUGUCAAUUUAGUGGAGUAGCGUUUUCGGAUAUGUUGUAUUCUAUCGAGCAUGAUCUCAUGGUUGAUCAAAGACAUCCGGUCCAUUUGGCAAUUCUUUUCUUCAGCCAAACUCUACUUUCCGAUGAAUUAGUUUAGUUUGUUUUUAUUUGUUGUAAUGGUCGUUUGUGUCUUUGGAGUCGCUUUUUCUUUUUCGUUGUUUAGUCUUUUCAAUUUUAUCCAAUACUAGUUGUUUUUGUAAGUUCUGUCAAAAUUUUAAAAUCUGGUAUAAAAUUUAAUAUUUA